CCUACGGGUGGCAGCAGUCGAGAAUUAUUCACAAUGGGGGAAACCCUGAUGGUGCGACGCCGCGUGGGGGAAUGAAGGUCUUCGGAUUGUAAACCCCUGUCAUGUGGGAGCAAAUUAAAAAGAUAGUACCACAAGAGGAAGAGACGGCUAACUCUGUGCCAGCAGCCGCGGUAAUACAGAGGUCUCAAGCGUUGUUCGGAAUCACUGGGCGUAAGGCGUGCGGAGGCUGGUUCGUAAGUCGGGUGUGAAAGGCGCGGGCUCAACCCGCGGACGGCAAUUGAUACUGUGAGACUAGAGUAAAGGAGGGGGAACCGGAAUGCUCGGUGUAGCAGUGAAAUGCGUAGAUAUCGAGAGGAACACUCGUGGCGAAGGCGGGUUCCUGGACAUUAACUGACGCUGAGGCACGAAGGCCAGGGGAGCGAAAGGGAUUAGAUACCCCAGUAGUC
rnacentral:rRNA from 1 species